rnacentral:rRNA from 1 species
ACCUCGCGAGGGUCGACGGACGCAACUGAGGUGUUAUCACAUGUGCCUGUACAGAUCACUCCGGAGAUGAACGCGGUUCUGGAUGGACUUUUUACUCCGGAAGAUGUGCACAAGGCUCUUUUUCAGAUGGCGCCAUCAAAGGCACCGGGUGUCGAUGGCUUCACAGCGGGUUUUUUCCAGAAGCACUGGGAGUUGUUACGUCAUGAUAUAACUAGUGCGGUUCUUGGAUUCCUUAAUGGAGGGGAUCUGCCUUUGGGUUUGAAUGAUACGUCUAUAACACUUAUACCAAAGGUACGAAACCCCCAAAAUAUUACUCAAUUC